AACAAUCGAAACCGCAUGGCCUGAUUUGAAAGGCGCUCCCGGGUGUCGCUGAUGGAUGGACCCGCGGUGCAUUAGCUAGUUGGUGAGGUAAGCUCACCAGGCGACGAUGCAUAGCCCUGAGAGGGUGAUCGGCCACAUUGGGACUGAGACACCCCCAAACUCCUACGGGAGGCAGCAGUAGGGCGAAAUCUUCGGCAAUGGACGAAAGUCUGAGGGAGCAACGCCGCGUGAGUGAAGAAGGUCGGAUCGUAAAACUCUGUUUUAGAGAAGAACAAGGAUGAGAGUAACUGUUAUCCCUUGACGGUAUCUAAUUUCCAGAGGGCCACGGCUAACUACGUGCCAGCAGCCGCGGUAAUACGUAGGUGGCAAGCGUUUACCGGAUUUAUUGGGCGUAAAGCGAGCGCAGGGGUUUCUUAAGUCUGAUGUGAAAGCCGGGCGGCUCAACCGGGGAGGUCAUUGGAAACUGGGAGACUUGAGUGCAGAAGAGGAGAGUGGAAUUCCAUGUGUAGCGGUGAACCGGUAGAUAUAUGGAGGAACACCAGUGGCGAGGCGGCUCUCUGGUCUGUAACUGACGUGAGGCUCGAAAGCGUGGGGAGCAAACAGGAUAGAUACCCUGGUAGUCCACGCCGUAAACGAUGAGUGCUAAGUGUUGGAGGGUAUGGCCGCCCUUCAGUGCUGCAGCUAACGGGUUAAGCACUCCGCCUGGGGAGUACGACCGCAAGGUUGAAACUCAAAGAAUUGACGGGGGCCCGCACAAGCGGUGGAGCAUGUGGUUUAGGGCGAAGCAACGGAAGAACCUUACCAGGUCUUGACAUCCUUUGACCACUCUAGAGAUAAGAGAGCUUCCCCUUCGGGGGCAAAUGGGAGGUGUGAUGGUUGUAGUCGUCAGCUCGUGUCGUGAGAUGUUGGGUUUCCCGCAACGAGCGCAAGGGUUAUUGUUAGUUGCCAUCAUUUUGGGCACUCUAGCAAGACUGCCGGUGACAAACCGGAGGAAGGUGGGGAUGACGUCAAAUCAUCAUGCGGGCUUAUGACCUGGGCUACACACGUGCUACAAUGGGAAGUACAACGAGUCGCAAAGUCCGAGGCUAAGCUAAUCUCUUAAAGCUUCUCUCAGUUCGGAUUGUAGGCUGCAACUCGCCUACAUGAAGCCGAAUCG
rnacentral:rRNA from 1 species